rnacentral:snRNA from 1 species
AUACUUACCUUGUGCCCCGGGGCCUCGUUGAUCACCGAGGAUGAGCCUCCAGGACGAGGCGCAGGCACUGCACUGCGCUCGCGUUGACCCCUGCCACUAACCCAAACUCGGGCAGAUGGGGCAUGCAACC